GCCGCCUUAGCUCAGCUGGUAGAGCAGCUCACUCGUAAUGAGCAGGUCAACGGUUCGAAUCCGUUAGGCGGCCCCA
rnacentral:tRNA from 1 species